rnacentral:rRNA from 2 species
CCAACCGGGAUUGCCUCAGUAACGGCGAGUGAAGCGGCAGCAGCUCAAAUUUGAAAUCCGAUCCCUCGGGGUUCGAGUUGUAAUUUGGAGAGGGUGCUUCGGGUCAGGCGUCGGCUUAAGUGCCUUGGAACAGGCCGUCGUAGAGGGUGAGAAUCCCGUCUGGAACCGGCGACCAAGCCCGCGAAGAAGCCCCUUCGACGAGUCGAGUUGUUUGGGAAUGCAGCUCUAAAUGGGUGGUAAAUUUCAUCUAAAGCUAAAUAUUGGCCAGAGACCGAUAGCGCACAAGUAGAGUGAUCGAAAGAUGAAAAGCACUUUGGAAAGAGAGUCAAACAGUACGUGAAAUUGUUGAAAGGGAAGCGCUGGCGACCAGACCUGCCCGUGAGCGAUCACCCGCGAUUCCGUCGCGGGGUACUCGUGCACGAACAGGCCAGCAUCGAUUCGGGCGGCGGGACAAAGGGCUCGGGAACGUAGCUCCUCUCCGGGGGAGUCUUAUAGCCCGGGCCGGCAUGCCGCCCGCCUGGAUCGAGGAUCGCGCUCCGGCUCGGAUGCUGGCGUAAUGGUCGUCAGCGACCCGUCUUGAAACACGGACCAAGGAGUCUAACAUCUAUGCGAGUGUUUGGGUGUCAAACCCGGGCGCGGAAUGAAAGUGAACGGAGGUGGGAACCCUCCGUCCCGGGGGGCGCACCAUCGACCGAUCCAGAUGUCUUCGGAUGGAUUUGAGUAGGAGCAUAGCUGUUGGGACCCGAAAGAUGGUGAACUAUGCCUGAAUAGGGUGAAGCCAGAGGAAACUCUGGUGGAGGCUCGCAGCGGUUCUGACGUGCAAAUCGAUCGUCAAAUUUGGGUAUAGGGCGAAAGAC